rnacentral:rRNA from 1 species
UACAGAGGGUGCAAGCGUUAAUCGGAAUUACUGGGCGUAAAGCGUGCGCAGGCGGUUUGUUAAGUCUGCUGUGAAAUCCCCGAGCUCAACUUGGGAAUUGCAGUGGAUACUGGCAGGCUGGAGUAUGGUAGAGGAAGGUGGAAUUCCCGGUGUAGCAGUGAAAUGCGUAGAGAUCGGGAGGAACACCAGUGGCGAAGGCGGCCUUCUGGACCAAUACUGACGCUCAUGCACGAAAGCGUGGGGAGCAAACAGG